rnacentral:tRNA from 1 species
GGGCAGAUGGCCGAGUGGUCUAAGGCGCUAGUUUUAGGUUGUAGUCAACGGUCGAAACACUAGUCUUCGGGCGUGGGUUCAAAUCCCACUCUGCUCA